AUUGAACGCUGGCGGCAGGCCUAACACAUGCAAGUCGAGCGGAUGAAGGGAGCUUGCUCCUGGAUUCAGCGGCGGACGGGUGAGUAAUGCCUAGGAAUCUGCCUGGUAGUGGGGGAUAACGUCCGGAAACGGGCGCUAAUACCGCAUACGUCCUGAGGGAGAAAGUGGGGGAUCUUCGGACCUCACGCUAUCAGAUGAGCCUAGGUCGGAUUAGCUAGUUGGUGGGGUAAAGGCCUUCCAAGGCGACGAUCCGUAACUGGUCUGAGAGGAUGAUCAGUCUCACUGGAACUGAGACACGGUCCAGACUCCUACGGGAGGCAGCAGUGGGGAAUAUUGGACAAAGGGCGAAAGCCUGAUCCAGCCAUGCCGCGUGUGUGAAGAAGGUCUUCGGAUUGUAAAGCACUUUAAGUUGGGAGGAAGGGCAGUAAGUUAAUACCUUGCUGUUUUGACGUUACCAACAGAAUAAGCACCGGCUAACUUCGUG
rnacentral:rRNA from 1 species